GAGCGCCGCUCGGUGCCUCCGCGGCCCCUCCGCCCCGCUUCAGGUCCCAGGACGCCGCCGCCCGUUGGCGCUAACGGCCGCUGCCGUCCCCCAGCGCCCGCGGCUCUCACCCAGAGCUCCGAGGCCGGGAAGCCCGUAUGGAUGGGUCGUGCUCUCGGAGCUGCCCCGCGAGGCCCGUUUCUGUGCACCGCUCGCAAACUGUGGACGGUCAGGAGCGGAGGUGCUCUUCCCCCUUUGGCACAGCCCUCAGCACGCCUGAUUUGCCUGCCAAAUGAGCCCCGGCCGGGCACCCGCGUUUUCCUCCCCCUCCUCCACGCUUUCUGGUAGUCAAAGCGAAGUCUGGUUUGGGGAUUUGAAUUUCCCUAUUCCGACUCCGCGGGCAGUUCUGCGAGAGGCCGUGCACGCGGAAGCUGCAGAACAGAAGAUACUAUCGGCACCGACGCGCUUGCUCCCAUCUUCUACCUGCUACAUCACUGGAAAUAAGGGCCGCUCCGACAGAACCCAACAGAACAACCCAUGGCCGUUCGAUCUUUCAGCCCUCCUGCUCGUUCUCCCCAGUGCCCACACCCUUCUCUCACACGCAGGGUGAAUUCAGCCUGGGUCAGAGGGCUUAAUUUGGACGUGAGAAAUACGGAAGUAGUCUGCUGGUGUGGUGCCUCGGAGGCUGACAUCCACAGGCUACCUAUGGCACUGCGUGUGGAUGGGCAGAUCCUUCUCAGCUGACAGCACGCGCUUUGGGAUGGAAUGGUGCUACCUCACUUAACAGGUCUACAUGGUUACAGCAAACAAGCCAAAUGUGUGCAGGUUGCAUUCCCAAAAUUAUUUAUUACCUGCAUCUUGACAAGAUCCAACACACUGAUAUGCACCAGGGUUUUGCUGUUGGAAGAGUCUGUGAGCACAGCUUUUUUUUUUCUUUUCUUUUCUUUUUCCCCUUUUCCCUUCCUUUUCUAAUUAUCCCUCUCUCAGUCCCUCAGUAUCACUCCAUUUGGCUUCCAGGCUACCAUCUGUGUACCCUCAGGGAGUCAACAAGAGAAGAACAAGGGCCAGAAAGCAGAGCACAGGUGAAAAGAGGUAAGCAGGAGCUUCUUAAAAUAGUAAAGGGCUGUUCAAGCCUCUAGAGCACAAAAGCAUGUGACUAAGAGGAAUACCCUGCCCAAACUAAAAACCAAUAUACAUAAAAAUGUAAUUGGAAAGAGUGGGGAGAAAGAGGAAACUUCAGCUUCUAAUUCAUUCAGUAUUUCACUUGAAUUGCCUAUUAAAGGACAUUUGCCUCAGAUGUGGGAUAGAUCAUUUGCAGCAGAACAGGCUGGCCUUAGACAAUAUGGAUGCAGAGCAUACCAUAACAGUUCAGCCAAUGGCCAGAGAGCAUACAAACAGAAGUCAGACAGAAGACAUUCCACAGGCCACAGCUCAGACACCUCUGAUCAGAAUGUGUGCCAACACUUCCCAGCAACAUCUUCACUUGCCCCUUCACAUUGAAUUCUGCAGUAGGGGCAAGGCCUACUCAGCUCAACCAUGUCUGAAGCCGGCCUUCAGACACUGUUAACGCACAGGGAGUUGAUCCAGCAUCUCCUACAGGCUGCUGCCAGUGGCAACGCUACAACCAAAAAUGGAGUUUCCCAUUUGUUGUGGUGGAAGUGGUGCAGGAGGUGAAGAAAACAUCCGGUAGCCACAUGAUGAGGCACGUUUUGCUGACACGAGGCACUCGUGAAUAGGCAAGCUGAAGAAAAUUUAGAUUUGUUUCCUCAGCUUUGGGCGCAAGCCUAGAAUCUUGCUGAAGUAAGUAAGUGCUGAGCACAAGGUCUCACUCAGGCUGAAAGAUGUCAUUUCCCUCACAAAACCUCUUCACUGUCAUUGCUCACUUGAGUUCUGAGGCAUUUAAUAAAGUGAGGUGCGCUACAAAGCCUUUAAGGCGACCUCACCUCCCUCUGGCCACGCUGGAGGAAAGCUGCAAGAAGCAGCUGCUGGCUCUGUGCUCGCUGUGAGUCACCGAGCCAUCCACAGGUUGGUGCUACUGUUGGCACUGCAGGCAAACCCAGGGCUUCAGGCUCCUGCAGCUCCAGCAACCUUGGAGCCACAUGCACAGCCUGGGGACAUAUGAGCCCUUUUUCCAGUAACCACAGCUGUUUGGCAGUUUCUUGCUCCUAAGGGUAGGCUGAGGGUGGAUUUUGAUCCUCUAACCCCAAACUGCCCUUUCAUUUGGACAUUUUGGGGGUGAAACCAGUUACUCACAUUCUGUAAGGGACGCAUUUCAUCCAUUGCUCUUAAAGCACAAGCACAAUUUACUACAUUGCUAGUAUUUUGUCCCAGUGAAUUCCCUAAAGUGUAAGCAAUUCAGUGAAAUAAAACGUCCUCUGUUCUUGAGAGCUCAGAUGGAGGAAAAUACUAUUGGUUUUAAUUAGCAAUAUCCUUCAAAUGAAACCCCUAUUAACCAGAGGAGCAGGCAAUAUUUCAUCUCACUUCCUCUAGUUUACUUACUACUGCCUCCCUUCACUGUGGUUUACCAGCAGGAAACCGCUGGAGGGGACAUAUCCAGAUGAGAUUAAACAACAUACAAUUAUCAUCUUUACUAUUACCAGGCUGGCAGUAUUUCUGCUAGAUCUGAAAUGAGAUUCACAGCCAUUUUGGCUUCCAUUCACCAUGGAAAGAAGCCACUCUUUUAACUCCAGGCUCCCAGCCCCCAACUAUUUCAUUUGCUAAAGGCUGUUUUUCCUUUGGCUGGGUUCACCCUAGCCAAAGGUAAAUAGGAAGCAGCACCUGCAUGUCCCAGCAGUGGGCACCUCCAGGGGUAAAAGCACGGUGCAGAACAGCAGCUGUAGCCUCUCCUCUGCUGAGGUGGAAUGAAAGCCACCAAAGGGCUUCUUUCAGUGGUGGUGAGACUACCACCUGUGUGCCUGGCCUGGCACAUUCUGCUCCAGGUUCCACCCGAUGGUCUUCCAACGGAUGCAAAAACUCAAGGGUAUAGAAGAGAGAUAUAUAGAAGAGAGGAUGACAGAAACAGAAAAAAUAAAAAAGAAAAAGAAAAAGGAAAAAGAAAAAGAGAAAAGGGCAGAUUUCUCUUGGGCUCUGCUGAUCUCACUGUACUGCAGGUAGUCUGUCUGAAUUUCUUAGACAUUGCCAUGCUGGGUAACACAUUACCACUUUGCUGCUGUGUGGGUUGACUCGUAUAAAGCCUAAGAAAUAUGAAGCCAUCACAUACAUCACUUUUUAUGUGAAUAAGGGCAAUUAUAACCAAUACCUAACACAGAUGAUCAGCUUGGACUUGCAAAAAUCUUGCACAGUCUUUUAUGGGGUCAGUACUCUUUUGCACUUCCCACAGAGUGCUGCUGUGCUCUUUAUCAGGAACCUUCAGCGAAUUGAAAAGACAUCUCUAAUCCUUUAGCUACUUCGCAGAUAGUGAGACUUCAUUAAUUCCCAAGGAAUUUCUUCUGCCAGGUAAAGGAAAGUUCACCCAAGAAGGAAAUCUCCUCACUGCAAGUAAGUUGCAACACCUGACUGCUGGGGAGGGAUGGGAAAGGACUGGAGCAAAUUGGCAUGAUGAGGCUUGUGAAUGAAGUCAGUCAGGGAAGAAAGAGCCCAGGCACCAUGAGAUAGGCUGUUUCAGCACAUCUCCCAGGCAACUUCUGCUGGCAGGUCCCUUAAUGUUUGCAUCUUACUGCAGGCAGGCUGAUAAUGGGUACAAGAUUUCCAUUGUAAUAACCACUGAAUUCAGUUCUUAAUAAAAAACCGCUCCUCUUUCUUUGGUUGCCAUUAAGUUGACAAGCAUGCUUUCUGGGACUGACAUUUUCCAGAUUUGGUUUUAGCACACAUCAGGUUUGGGAUAUUUGAAAAGUGAAAGGAAAUCCAUGGAGCUAUUAAAGUAUGCAAAGAUUAUUUUUCAUGUGGUCUAACUCAAACUUUUGCAUCGACCAACUCAGAAGAAAAGUGAAAUUGAGACUGUAAACAUAAUUCUUUCGUAAAACUCCAUAGCUCUUGAUAAAACAUAUGUCCAGAGCUAGUUUUUAAGAAGUUUUAAAGCUGUGGCAUUUCUUGGUUGGUAAUUUUACUAUGUUUGUUAAGACUUCCUUAUGAAUUAUUUUAAUAUUCUGUAAUGAGAUAUAAUUGGAUGUCUUUCUUCAAAAACAGAAUAAAAGAUUAUUUUAUGUUUUGACUCGACAGUUCUUUCAAUAACUGAGGCAGGCUGAAAAAGUGAAGACACUAUGAAAUCACUAUUGAUCUCACUACACUAAUCUAAUUUAUUUGGGAAAGGCUAAAGCCAGUGAUGCAAAGUAUGGGAAAUCCAUUCAUAGGCAGAGAGAUUGAUCUUUGUUAAGGGCAUCCUACUGGAGGAAGAUUUGUUAAUACCUUUUCAAUCUCCCAUAAAUUCUUGUACUUAAAAGCUCUAAUGGCUCAUUUGUGAUAAUCCAGUCUGACCUCCUGUAUACGACAUGUCAUUGAACUUCCAUGAAUUAGUUCUUGCUUCAGCUAGGUGUCUUCUAUAAAAAUGUCCUGUCUUUCUAUAUGCGUUCCCAUUGAUGGAAAAUUUACUGAAAUCCUUGCUAUAUUGCUUCAAUUACAUUUGCUGCUAAAAAUGUGUGCCUCAUUCCUAGUUCGAACUGUCUGCUUCUCACUUAAUGCCCUUGUUAUGCUUUGGUCUGCUAUACUGAAAAGUCCGUUCAUGAUGUUCAGUGCUGGUACAUACUGAUCAUAACUGAGUUAUUUCUCCAUCAGUUCCUUUAUAAAGUAAAUACACAGCACUACUCUCAGAGUUUUUCACUAUGAACUGUUUUUCAUUUUCCACAAUAAUUCUCAUGGCUCUUCUCUGACUUUACUUCCCUUCAAGUCCCCUCAAAAUUUCUUCCUGAAAUAAAGGAGGACAUAGGUGUAGGUGAUAAUGCUCUCAAGAAACCCCUUCUCAAGCAUGCAUCCUUGUGAAGUUCCUAUUGGAUGUGUUUGUUAAUUACAUUUUAAAUUGUGAUGGUAGAAUCUAGGCUCCCAUUCUACCUUGCAUCUCCCAAUUGUUUUUAAGGCAUUCUGUUUGAAACAGCAGAAUGGUAAGAAAAAAUCAUGACUUAUUCUGUAGACCUCUUACGUAGCUGCUCUACUGACCAACGCUUGAAGUUGAAACACUGAACAUUUUAAUUCACAGGAAAACUCAAAAUCUUACAGAAGUCAUUUGUUUUAGUUCCCUAAAAUACAUCUAGUGCCAUGCAAAUUCCUGUACCUUUGAUGGCUCACUCACAUGGCCCAAAGCUGCAUUUAACUCUUUAUCUUUGGGGUUAAGUGGUAGAUGAUAAUGCCUUACUUGGAUCACGUACACAUGAAAUGAAUUUCUGGUAAGUUGGGCUCACAGGAGACAAAAAAAAAGGUGAGGAACCUUCAGCCUGGGCCUCAUAACAACAUCUGAGCUGCCCUUGUUCUGUGUUGUGAUGCUCAACUGAUAGUGCUGCUUUCUAAACCUUCCCUGCAGGAAAAACUUUCCCCACAGGAAUUCACAGAAGAUGCAAACUGAGGAUUGCUAGGCCCAAAAUGUUUGUCUUUCCAUUGGUGCCAUUUAUAACACAUCAUUUGGUGGACCCACUCGUGGUCCCUGCAGAAUGAACGUGCUCCUGCCUACUGAAGACAGAUAGAAUGUAACUUGGAAUUUAAUUUCUCAAAUGUGUGUCUCCUGGUGUUUUGGAAAUGCUGAAUCAUGUCUUUCAAUUACCUUGCAAGCUGCCGGCAUUUUUCCAAAAAUGAUCACUUCUUUGUCAUCCACAGCUCCAUUUUCUAGUUUUGCAGCCUGCUGAAUGGGUAAGAGUGUAGCAGGAAACAAAGAGUUUCUGACUCAUCCAUCAUGAGACAUCUUAACAGUUCAGUGAGUUUUAUUCUUCUGCUAUGACUCUUCUCUCGGCACUGAGAGUAGUAUCACAACAGUAUCUAUAUGUUUUUUCUGAUGCUGCAUUAGAACUUGUGAAUUCACUGAGCAUCCUGCUUCAGAAAUGAGCGAGCCACAAAAGACAGAUUCCAAAUACCCUCGGUUUUCUUAGUGUUUAACUUACACGUGAUUCAGGCCAAACUCAGAUAUUCUUAGACCUGAUUUCAUCCCACACCAACAAGUAGCAUGCAUAGCUUUGGCAGCAAGGCAUGGCAACCCAGAAGAGCCCAGCAAUGGCAGCUUUGCUCAGUUGCGUGCCCACUCUAGGCAACUUUCUGCACAGGGGCAAUGUAGUUUUGAGCAGGAAGUUUGGGGUAUUCAGUCCCAGAAAGAACAUUACAGAAGAGGCUUUAUUGCUCAGCCAGCUGCUGUCAGUUUGAGCAGCUUGGCUACUCACUGCUACUGAGGUGGCCAGAGUCUGCAAAGUGAUCCAUUCACAAGGCAGACAGGUCCAUACUGCCAGGCCUGGAGAAGUGGGAUGUUUCAGGUUCCCAGACAAGCCAAUUAUACUGGCGAGACACCACAAAGAGUUAUGACAGGCACACAUGGCAUUAGCUGAAUCCUGUGAUUUUCUACUGCGGUUAUUUAAUCAUUUAGCUACUAUUUGAGAAACUUCAGAACAUACCAGCUUCUCUUUAUCUUUUUUGUUUUUCCAUCUUUUCCUGUUUUAUCAUUUCUAUUUGUUACUGUUGCUUUUUCCAUUUUAUGCUCUAAGGUCGUUUUAUAUGAGUUAUUGGAUUUGACAGCCUGCCACUGUGGACACUGGAGAACUGGAGGAGACAAGCAACCAUAUAACCUUGCUCUUUUGGUCUGAUUGAAAGCUUCCUGACACUGUAGAAAUUUCUUCGUUUUCUUCAGCGAGUUUUAUUUCAGAGUCUUCUAGCACAAAUUUGGUACAAUAUAAAGGGGAAAGAGGUAAGGUGAGCAGCUUUCAACUGCCAGAGAACAUUGCUCUCUCUCCUCUCCCUCCUGAGUGAAAAACAUCACAUUGCUUCAGAGCUUGGUUAUGUUUACAGAUCACCAGGAGUUGGCUCCAGCUUGAAGAGCCUGCAGCAGCAUCAGAGCAGAAGGUGCAACAGCUGGGCAAGCAGUGCAGCACCCCAAACUGUGAGCCCUGCUGAAGGAUAGGUCCACAGAAUCUGGUAGCAUAGUGGUCACAGGGCUGUGCUGCUUUCAGGACAUGUAGGUACAUAGCAGUGUUUAAAUAAGCCACACGAAUUUCUCUCUGCAAACUUGGUCAAAAGCGGCUCUUUGCACGGUGCCUCAGAACAACGCAACCAUCCCCAUUGCCUUAUUUCAUGGUUUGAUUGCUGUUGUUCUUGUUUGCCUUCUAUCCUUUACAAGUCAGCUGCAGAAGUAAAAAGAUCAUUCAUCCAUUAAAUAGACGGGCGGACACAAUAACAUUCACCAUGGUGUUUGCCUGUUCUACCGGUUGGUUGAUAAUGUAAUUACUCUUUGCAUAACAGCUAAAAACUGAACAGACAUGGGGAUUGUGUUUCCAGAGAGUUUUGCACAGAUUCUGUAAAUGAGAUAGUGGCACUCAGGUAAUCUCCUGAUUCUUAUUGCUUUUGAAAGGCUGGUAUUUCUGUAGAUACUAUCUUCCUAAUUCUGUUGAGCGAGCAUGUCUGCACUAGGUGGGAACUGUUUCUUUCUGGCCUGCUUUCCUUUUCACACACAUUAUAAAUGGGGACUGGCCUCACAGAUUUUUCUCUCUCAGUACAGCGAGGUAUGUUACCUCUCACCUAUCAAAACAACAUCACUUCAUGGUGAGGUAUAGAAGAGCUGCAAAUUGGCUUUUAUUUUUGCACUGUGCCUUUCAACGUUCCCUGUACAGCAGCACCCCAUCAUAUGCUCUGAAUGUGGAUGAAGCCAGGCCCAGCAGCUCACUGCAGAAGUGAUCAUCAGCUCUUCAGUUCCGGUUACUCCAAACUCGAGAAGGGUUGGGAAAGCAGUUAUGAAGGACCACAUAACUCCCCUCAGCCAAGGAACAAAGACAACUCACAAUAAAGGAAAGGAGAAUGCAUUUAGUCUAGUUAUUUGUUUGGGCAGUUGAAAGUUAGUUUUAAUUAUGCCUAAUGUCUCAUGUAGUGCUAUCUUACAGCCUGUUGAAACAGGCCACUGUUGAAAUAAUGAAGACGUAGUAACGUGAGAUAAUGCUGCUGUGCAUACUGCUAAAACUGACCUGAGCUGUGAGAAGGAUCCAUUCUUUCUCAUGCAAACUGGGGCUCACUCUAGUAAAGCACUAAAAGUUGCAAAGCCAGCUUCAGCACCACUAUCUCUAACUCCCUGAGCACUGUUGCUUCCUCUGCAUGCAGCAUGGCAAGUGUGCUGAACCUGCUUUGCAGGGCAGUGAAGAAAAAGUGAGAGCCAGCACCUUUUCUACAUGGGCCAGUCCUGAGGAAGUCAAGUAUGGUUGCUAGCCCCACUCACAGGCAUAGAACAAGGCAUUCCACUUGAGGUAGGGCACUGCAAGGACCUCAUAAACGUCUCCCUAAUACUGAUCCACAGGAGACUUGUCUUCUGUGUGCUUCUUGGAGACAGUCCAACGUUGGGUUCAUAAGCAGCCAAACAACUGUCAUCCCUAGGACACAGAGCACAUUCCCCACUACUCCUCAGCAAGCUGCCAGCUCUGUAGGGCAAGAAAGCAGCAGGAGCACGGCAGCAGGGCUGCAGGGAAGUACUGGAAAUUGUGCUGCUGCAUGCAGGCAGGAGGAUGGGUACUGAAGUCCAGCGAUAAUCCCUGGGGGCUAAAUCAAAGACUCCAGCACAGACUGCAGCCCUGAGGAGCUUUUCAGGGAACCAGCAGCGAUCCUUUGGGAAGAAGCAUAGAGAAAGAUAAAGCACCCUAAGGGAAGUGAAGUCUUCUUGCAGAACAAGUGAGUAAAGGCCAGCAUGGAAGACAUAAAGUUCUGCAGUUUGACAGUGUGGACUAGUCAGAGUCUUGCAUUUUCAGAGAGGUACAAAAUUGUUUUGCUUUUCCCAGAACUCUGUAAGUGACUUCCUAUUUGGCCCACUUUUCUUUCAAAUAUCACUCACAGCUUGCUCAGCCCAGACCUAUGGAAUAAGCAGCAAAACUCCCAUCACCUCCAGCUGGAACAAGAUCAAGCCCAGGACAUAUAUAGCUUUUUAAAUCUCAUAUGACACCAAAACACCAAUUUAUAGCACAGUGUGGAUUUCUUUUAAAUGUCUGCAUGCUCAGUUUGCCUGAAGCCAGACCCCAAGAGAUACUGUGACCAACAGACUCUAUACAUCAGCUGUGGGAGCUCUGCAGAGGGGUUCCAGUGCAUAUGCAGGGGAAGAGAGUUGCCUUUAUGAGACUAUCAGGAAACUAUCUUUAGAAAAGUAAGGAAUUCUCUAAAAAAAAAUAAUCUAGAGUAAGCUUUGCCCUACAUAGAAACAGGAACUUCUGUUCCAACCCAUUCAUAAAUUGUAUUACUGGCAUUAUUACUUAUCAUAAUAGUAUUCUAUUAUUUUAUUGUAUUUACAUUCACAAUUGCUCUAUGAGGAGCUGAAACAUGUUUUAUCUAUUUUACAAAUAGAAAUAGCUACAGCACAGAAGUAAGGGUCAUAUUCAAGGUGACAGGAGAUUCUCAACACAGCCUACAGCAGAAUUCAGGUCUCCCAUGUCUCACUCUGCUUCCCUCUUCUUCAGGCUGCAGUGCCAGGCACUGUGCACAGGACCACGCAAAGCACGGAAAGCUGCCUCUUUUUUUUUAAGGCCCAGCUGGAGCAAUUUGCAAAGUCCAAGAGCAGUAACAGUAAGAUGUUCCAAAGGAUAGGAUCUGCUUUUGAAACAACGACUAAAAGAAAAACAGAGAAGGAAGAGAGAAAUCAGAAGAACUUGUAAGGAACAAAAUAGAAUGUACUGUCUGAGCCAGAAACAAGUUUACAUAAGGUUUAAUGGUGAUACUCUUACUUAUACUUAAUGGUACAUUAGCAUAUAUGGGGUAAAUUAUUACUGACACUGAGGCAUAAAAAUUAGAUCCAUCAGGCUAUAGAAGCAAGAAAGCUACUAUCUGGAAACAUCCUCCUAAAUUAACAAGCCAGUGAAACUACAGGUCAAUCUACUCCAAAUCUGUUGAGCAGAUGAUGCUUUGAAAUGGCCAUGGCUGAUGCUUCUGAAAGUGAUUCACAGACGUGCUUUAGAAGCAACGCUUCAAUAGAGAAAGAAAAGAAGCAGCACACUUAAAUGUAUUCCAAAAAAAAAAUCCCCAGCACAUUCAAAUUAGCUUCAGCCUGUUUUUUUAAGUCAUCUGGCAGAUACAGGGAACUAUGGUGGGCACAACCAUCUCAUGUAGCUGAAGUUGUCCAAUAAAGAAAAAUAGAACUUGAGAAAAAAGCCAAGGUGAAUAUUCCAAGGUAGGGUAGCAGAUGACACUGCUGUCUGGACAUCUGUUAUGCUGCAUGUGAUGGUUCCUCCAGUUACAAAACAUUAUUUUCAAGGAACUCUCAAAAAAGUUUAGACCUUUGGCAUCUCCAGUGACAUCUCUUAGAGUUUUCUCAGAUGAACACUCUUUUGCCAGGAGGCUGCAAGGAGUGGAGAAGGUAGAUAAGAGAUAUUUUUUUAAAUAAACCAGACAACUGGCACUCUGGAAAGAGGAAGACGUAUCCCCAAAAAAAGCCUAAAAAACAAGGAUACAAAAUUAUCAGAAUUUGUUAUCUUAGAAGUUCUCAGCAUGAAGGAAUGUAUGUUCCUGCAAAGUAAAUUUAUUCUAGGACUACAAGCUUAUCGCCAUUUUAUGCUACUUUAUGCAGAUUAAUAAAUCAGUCUACAGAGGAUCUUUCUAAAAAAUCAUUCAGUGUUGGUGUGUUUGUGUCUGUGUCUGUAUGUGUGUGCAUAUGUGUGUGAAAGAUUCAAAAGGAGAGGUCAACUAAUUAAUUAAUACAAAACAGAACAGAAUACUCCGAGUUGGAAGUGACCCA